rnacentral:rRNA from 1 species
CCUACGGGGGGCUGCAGUGGGGAAUAUUGGACAAUGGGGGAAACCCUGAUCCAGCAAUGCCGCGUGUGUGAAGAAGGCCUGCGGGUUGUAAAGCACUUUCGGUUGGGAAGAAAAGUUUGGCGCCAAUACCGCCGAACCUUGACGUUACUGACAGAAGAAGCACCGGCUAACUCUGUGCCAGCAGCCGCGGUAAUACAGAGGGUGCAAGCGUUAAUCGGAAUGUGUGGGCGUAAAGCGGGAGUAGGGGGUCGAAAUCCCCGGGCUUAACCUGGGAACUGCAUUCGAUACUAGAUGGCUAGAGUAUGGUAGAGGGAAGUGGAAUUUCCGGUGUAGCGGUGAAAUGCGUAGAGAUCGGAAGGAACACCAAUGGCGAAGGCAGCUUCCUGGACUAAUACUGACGCUGAGGCGCGAAAGCGUGGGGAGCAAACAGGAUUAGAUACCCUUGUAGUC